rnacentral:rRNA from 1 species
AACGUAGGUUCCGAGCGUUAUCCGGAUUUACUGGGCGUAAAGCGCGUUCAGGCGAUUUGGCAAGUCGGGCAUGAAAUCUCUCGGCUCAACCGGGAGAGGUUGUCCGAUACUGCUGGACUUGAGGGCAGUAGAGGGUGGUGGAAUUCCGGGUGUAGUGGUGAAAUGCGUAGAUAUCCGGAGGAACACCAGUGGCGAAAGCGGCCACCUGGACUGUACCUGACGCUGACACGCGAAAGCUAGGGGAGCGAACGGG